rnacentral:rRNA from 1 species
ACUCAAGAGGGAAACAACCCAGACCGCCAGCUAAGGUCCCUAAAAUUGGCUAAGUGGGAAACGAAGUGGGAAGGCUAUAACAGUCAGGAUGUUGGCUUAGAAGCAGCCAUCAUUUAAAGAAAGCGUAAUAGCUCACUGAUCGAGUCGUCCUGCGCGGAAGAUGUAACGGGGCUAAGCCAGUUACCGAAGCUGCGGAUGUGCAAUUUAUUGCACGUGGUAGGAGAGCGUUCUGUAAGCCUGUGAAGGUGGCGGUGUAAACCCUGCUGGAGGUAUCAGAAGUGCGAAUGCUGACAUGAGUAGCGUUAAAGGGGGUGAAAAGCCCCCUCGCCGUAAGCGCAAGGUUUUCUACGCAACGUUCAUCGGCGUAGAGUGAGUCGGCCCCUAAGGCGAGGCAGAGAUGCGUAGCUGAUGGGAAACAGGUCAAUAUUCCUGUACCGAUGUGUAGUGCGAUGUGGGGACGGAGAAGGUUAGCUCAGCCAACUGUUGGAUAUGUUGGUUCAAGCCUGUAGUCGUGCCUGGUAGGUAAAUCCGCCGGGCUUAGAUGAGGGGUGAUAACGAGUCUGCUUGCAGACGAAGUGAGUGAUACCCUGCUUCCAGGAAAAGCCACUAAGCUUCAGCUACACACGACCGUACCGCAAACCGACACUGGUGCGCGAGAUGAGUAUUCUAAGGCGCUUGAGAGAACUCAGGAGAAGGAACUCGGCAAAUUGACACCGUAACUUCGGAAGAAGGUGUGCCUUUAGUAGGUGAUGUCCCUCGCGGACGGAGCCCAAUGAGGUUGCAAAAAAUCGGUGGCUGCGACUGUUUAUUAAAAACACAGCACUCUGCUAAGACGAAAGUCGACGUAUAGGGUGUGACGCCUGCCCGGUGCUGGAAGAUUAAAUGAUGGGGUGCAAGCUCUUGAUUGAAGUCCCAGUAAACGGCGGCCGUAACUAUAACGGUCCUAAGGUAGCGAAAUUCCUUGUCGGGUAAGUUCCGACCUGCACGAAUGGCGUAACGAUGGCCACACUGUCUCCUCCUGAGACUCAGCGAAGUUGAAAUGUUUGUGAUGAUGCAAUCUCCCCGCGGAAAGACGGAAAGACCCCAUGAACCUUUACUGUAGCUUUGUAUUGGAUUUUGAACAGACCUGUGUAGGAUAGGUGGGAGGCUUUGAAGUGCGGUCGCUAGAUCGCAUGGAGCCAACGUUGAAAUACCACCCUGGUGUGUUUGAGGUUCUAACCUAGGUCCAUUAUCUGGAUCGGGGACAGUGCAUGGUAGGCAGUUUGACUGGGGCGGUCUCCUCCCAAAGUGUAACGGAGGAGUUCGAAGGUACGCUAGUUACGGUCGGACAUCGUGACGAUAGUGCAAUGGCAUAAGCGUGCUUAACUGCGAGACUGACAAGUCGAGCAGAUGCGAAAGCAGGACAUAGUGAUCCGGUGGUUCUGUAUGGAAGGGCCAUCGCUCAACGGAUAAAAGGUACUCUGGGGAUAACAGGCUGAUACCGCCCAAGAGUUCAUAUCGACGGCGGUGUUUGGCACCUCGAUGUCGGCUCAUCUCAUCCUGGGGCUGUAGCCGGUCCCAAGGGUAUGGCUGUUCGCCAUUUAAAGAGGUACGUGAGCUGGGUUUAAAACGUCGUGAGACAGUUUGGUCCCUAUCUUCCGUGGGCGCUGCAGAUUUGAGGAAGCCUGCUCCUAGUACGAGAGGACCGGAGUGGACGAACCUCUGGUGUACCGGUUGUCACGCCAGUGGCAUUGCCGGGUAGCUAAGUUCGGAAGAGAUAACCGCUGAAAGCAUCUAAGCGGGAAACUCGUUUCAAGAUUAGAUCUGCCGGGGCCUUGAGCCCCCUAAAGAGUCGUUCAAGACCAGGACGUUGAUAGGUCAGGUGUGGAAGCGCAGUAAUGCGUUAAGCUAACUGAUACUAAUUGCUCGUGAGGCUUGACCCU